UUGCCUACAGUUUGUGCUAUAUAUACUGGCCUCUAUCCAGGUCAACGUGUCUAACCUGCAAGAGAGCUAAUCUCCUAUAUGGUCUUAGCUACCGGGAUCUAUACCCUGCAACUGUCAUCAGCUGGGCAUGAAGAACAGCAGGCGGCCAGCUAUAUUUAUUUCAGCUUAAUUCUCAAAGGGUAUAUAUACUUUGGUGAAGAUCGAUCGGUGCAUGGUUGAUUAGAGAGCCAACUGAAUGGGAUUUCGCUCAGUUUGAUCCUCAUCACAGUAGGUGCUUAAUUGGUGAGUGGUUAAUUAGUUAAUAUAAGCCCCUCCUGACCUUCUUUUGGCUCUCUCUUUUCGACGCUUUUUAUUUAUUUAUUUUUGUUCUUGAUGGAUGAUUAUUUGAUCUCCCACGAUCUAAGAUUGCUGUUAUUUACUGUAUUUGAGUUCUGACCACUGCUCCCACCUACUCAAAUCUAAUAGAGGCCAUUGCAAACUGCAGUGUCCCCUCUAAAAUGGCCCAUGAUAUUAGAAAGCCUCUUGUAAAUAGUACAAACAACAUGAAACAAGCAUGAGCUGAUAUUUGCAAUUGAAUUUUCUAUGAGAUCGAUGAGAAUAUGCAAAAGCAAACAUAUAGGAGCAUAUGUCCGGUCGUGUACCGGCCGUAUGGAUAUACUACCUCCAUCCCAAAAUAUUUGACGCCGUUGACUUUUUAAAAAAUGUUUGACCGUUCGUCUUAUUUAAAAAAUUUAAGUAAUUGUUAAUUCUUUUUCUAUCAUUUAAUUUAUUGUUAAAUAUACUUUUAUGUAUACAUAUAGUUUUACACAUAUCACAAAAGUUUUUGAAUAAAAUGAACGGUCAAACAUGUUUAAAAAAGUCAACGGUGUCAAACAUUUAGGGAAGGAGGGAGUAUAUAUGUAAACAGAAGCAUGGUUCCUACAUGCAUAUUGAUCAGAGAUAUAUACUCUCUCCAUCGUCUUAUAAAAAACAAACCUAUUAUGAGAUAUACAUCAUAAUACUACGAAUCUGAACAUGAGCAGUUUGUUUUUCAUGGGAUGAAGGAGGGAGUAUGAAAAGCUGGCUUGCUUAAUUGUGCACCAUGCAGAUCAAGAGCAGGGAAUGCAAGAAAAUGCAGCAUAUGGUAUGUAAAAUGCACGAUGCUGGUGAGUAAUGUUUUAAUGCCCCUUAUUUGUUACUUUGGUUAAUUAAUUUCUACUUAAUUUUAUCCAGUUUUGCCUGAUCAGUACCCUACUUUAAUUGUUUCACUAUAUAAUUUGCACCCGGUUAUUACUAUAUUGUUGUAGUGUGUCUAUCUUACCAUUAAUAAGAUACUCCCUCCGUCCCUAAAUAUUUGACGCCGUUGACUUUUUUAAACAUAUUUGACCUUUCAUCUUAUUCAAAAAAUUUAAGUAAUUAUUAAUUCCUUUUCUAUCAUUUGAUUUAUUGUUAAAUAUACUUUUAUGUAUACAUAUAGUUUUACAUAUUUUAUAAAAGUUUUUGAAUAAAACGAACGGUCAAAUAUGUUUUAAAAAGUCAACGGCGUCAAACAUUUAGGGACGGAGGGAGUAAGAAGUAUAAGGCUAGUUUUUGUAACAUAUAUAGGGUAUCCACUAUAUAUCCCUCUAUUCCUUUGCAAUAGUACUGAACUGCUAUGCUUAUACUAGGACAUUAAUUACUUUGGUUACACAGUUGGGAGGUGUCAGUUUAGUCCAGUGGCUGUAGCACAAUGUUGUCUUUUGAGGUGAUUUUUUUCAUCAAGUUUAUUUUGCAUGAUACUCCCUGAUCAUUAAGAUUUCUUAGCAACAUUUAUGAAACCACAUUAAAAAAAGGACGUACGCAUAGGCAGAUAUAUAGCCCGUGCUUCACUUGAAGAUUUGUCAUUCAUGCCUCAAUUUUCACUAGCUAACACAGAACGUUUAUGUGUACAAUAAUCCAUCUCUCUUUUAUGGUUUUUAUGUGUGUGACCACGUUCUUACUAGAUGCACGAAAAUUAUCAUUUUAGAGUUUUACAGUUUAUGGAAUGCUUGUGUGUGUGUGUUGCAAAUGCUCAGUUUAUGGAUGAUCUAGCAACAGCUAAAAUGAUGCUACGGAUUAAUAUUAUUGUUUUUCUAUCUGAAACAAAUAGAUCAUCAGGCAAUACACACAUCAAUUGAGGAACAACAGCUAGCACACAACUUAUUUCAUGACCACGUUCUUAAUUAGUUUCUUACUAGAUGCAUGAAAACCAUCAUUUUAGAGUUUUACACUUUAUGAAAUGCAUGACAGAUUUCAAUCCUAGUGAUAGUAGAAAAUUUUCAAAUAAGCUAGCUGGUGCAAAAUGGUUUCUGCGGCCGCUAUGCAUGUCAUUCCCAUUCCCCAGAAGUUGAUAUUGUUAACUGUUAGGUGCAAACGUUGCAAGCAAAGCGCGCAUGACACACACAGCCAGAGGGCUUCAUGCAUGUUAUUAAUUACGAUGGAACAAAUUACUCCGAUCCCAUUUUAGCGCAUGAAAAGAUGGUUUUUGCUAACCAGCCAUCUUAAAAUGGAUUCAUUUGCAAUUGAACAGUAUAAAUUUACAUAUUAAUUGUAUUGUUUUAUGCUCUACUUCCUUCUCACGGCGAGAGUCCUGCUACUAUACUGCUGGUCAGUCGGACCGAGCCAUGAUCCGGAAGACCGGAAGGGAGUCAUUCAUGAUCUCCCUCUUAAAACAAUUAAUAAGGCUAGCUUGAAGCUUCUGAUCAUUAAUUAACCUACGAUCCGUCUAGCUAUACUAAGCUACUCUUCGCUAAUCUGCUUAACAACUUUCAGGAAGUUUUUUUCAAGUAUGUACUAUGGAUUGAAUGGCUGCUUAUACAUAUGUACUGUGAAGAAUUACCGUGUAUAUGUAUGCAGGGGCAGAUAUACUUUGGGGGUGGCGGGGGCUCAAGCCUCUACUGUUAGUACCAGGACUAUGAGAGUUCUACGAAACCUCCACUAAAUUUUUUAUUUUGCCAUACGUAUAUGAGAAGAGGGUUAUAGUUUUAUUUAAUUAGUUUGUUCAGAUUCCUUGUUAUUUUUUCAUGGAUCUACCACCGUGUUUAUGAAUAAAUUUUGGUACUCCUACCUAUUAUGGCCAGAUCAGACCAUGCAUAUAAUUAAUCAGUAAUUGUUGCUGUGGAUUUUGGAUCGGAUGAGUGUGUUAAAUCGGCUGUACUGUACGUUGCUGUUGUUACUGCUGAUACACGGAACCUGCAAAUGAGCAUAGGAAAAGAUUGUUUGCCUAUGUAUGUAUAUAUGCAUUUUAGGCGCCAAUGUAUUCGGUGUUGUUAACUAAUCUGUCGACGUUUUAAUUAUGAAUGGCAGAAGUAGCUAGUGUGCCUCAGCUCCGUUGCCUAUCUGGAAUGUGAGAAGGUUGUUCCUAAUAACAAACGUAGCAAGAUAUACCGAUGCAUGAAAUGUAAAUAUUUAUUGAAAACCACAAAUUAAAAACAUUCUUAGGUUAUAUCGUCGACUCCGUUGCUGUUACUUUCACCAUUUUAUUGGAGAACAACUUAUUAUAGUUACCUUGGAGUCUUUGGACCGGUAAAAAUACAAUAGGAGCGCUAAUUUGCCGCGUUAGUUUCCUGCAAAUAUUUCUUUGGGCGUAUAUAGAUCGAUCUGAUCGAGCCUUUCCGUUUUCCUUUUUGGACAGUGAUCUCCAAUUUUUCUCCAAUCUAGCGGGCUCGAUCUGGGUAGUUUAGUUGGGCCGGCCAGUAAAAACGGUGAGAUUCUAUUUGGCCUUUUAAUGGAAAAGUUCACUUUUAGUCCCUCCAGUAAUGCCUGAUUCGUAAUCCUCAGGAACAAAACAAAAUACUCCCUCCAUCCCAAAAUGUUUGACGCCGUUGACUUUUUAAAAAAUAUUUAACCAUUCGUCUUAUUCAAAAAAUUUAAGUAAUUAUUAAUUCUUUUCCUAUCAUUUGAUCUAUUGUUAAAUAUAUUUUUAUGUAUACAUAUAGUUUUACAUAUUUCUCAAAAGUUUUUGAAUAAGACGAACGGUUAAAUAUGUUUAAUAAAGUCAACAGCGUCAAACAUUUAAUGAAGGAGGGAGUAUAAAGACUUCCUUAUCUAUGAAAUUACCUUGCCUCUCUAACCGAUUUGGACAACGGUGGUUUGGUCCUCUCUCUCAUCGUUCGAUCUUAUGAUAAAUUUUCUCUCCUAGUCGACGUGUUAUAUAGGACCAAACCAUCAAAAAGGUGGUUCUUGGAAAUUUUCUCAUAAGAACAAUGAGCUAGAGUCUAUAAAGAAACAGCUUCGAGAAACGUCCAGGAGUCCUCCGACUAGCACCACAUGAGUAGUUGGCUAGCCGGCCUAGGUUCCAUCCUUUCUAAUAAAAUUCGAUGUGAGAGCCAUCCUCUCAUACCCAACGUUUGUCUUAAUAAAGAAACAGCUUCAAGACGGUGAAGCGAGGAACAAUUAGGCUGAGCAGCAGAAUGGUGUUGUGGUUGAGCGUUUAUCCAACAAAGAGGGAUACAGAUACUAAUCAUCUAUAGGUUACUCCCUCCAAAUAAUUUAUAAUUUCUUUGUGGCACUCAUAUAACAUGAAGAAUACUAGCGCUUACAUGACAUUACAAUAAUAAAAUAAAUAGUGUUAAAAAUCUAUAGAACCUACAUCUAAUCUCUUAGAGGUUGGACCUAUAUGCCAGCAUCAUCCAUGAGGGGUUCCAACACGAAGGUGUACGUUGGGCUGGCAGCGAUCGACGAUGCAGAGGCGAAAAUAUAUUUAUAAUUGUAGCACUACUUUGUAACAAGUAGACAAUUUUCCCGUACAAUUUUGCACAGGGCUUGUUGACUUAGAUUUUUUUAUAGACAACUAUUGUCUCCUAUUUCUAUGUAUAUUUUUUCCUAUAUAUACGCAUUUUGGAGAGUAUGAUUGAUUUGAUAUAUAGCUCAUAACUUUUGUUCCUAUAGAUAUGUACAAAUAUAAUAAUAACUUUUAUAGUACAACAACUAUUAGUUAAUAUAAAUUUGAUUGCAUAUCUUGAUCAAACAAUCUAGAUUUUAUUCGUUUUCUUCAAUUAUUGUGAUAACAUCUUCUAGAAGAUGGAUAUACGGGUUUUCUUUAAUUUCGAGCUAUCAUGUACACAAAGAAGAUGGGAUAUAUUGUAGGUGUUAGGGUUGUCUAUUGGAUCACCUAG
rnacentral:lncRNA from 1 species